rnacentral:rRNA from 1 species
GACAGAGGAUGCAAGCGUUAUCCGGAAUUAUUGGGCGUAAAGCGUCUGUAGGUGGCUUUUCACGUCCGCCGUCAAAUCCCAGGGCUCAACCCUGGACAGGCGGUGGAAACUGCCAAGCUGGAGUACGGUAGGGGCAGAGGGAAUUUCCGGUGGAGCGGUGAAAUGCGUAGAGAUCGGAAAGAACACCAACGGCGAAAGCACUCUGCUGGGCCGACACUGACACUGAGAGACGAAAGCUAGGGGAGCGAACGGG